rnacentral:rRNA from 1 species
UGGGGAAUAUUGGGCAAUGGACGCAAGUCUGACCCAGCAACGCCGCGUGAAGGAAGAAGGCUUUCGGGUUGUAAACUUCUUUUAAGGGGGAAGAGCAGAAGACGGUACCCCUUGAAUAAGCCACGGCUAACUACGUGCCAGCAGCCGCGGUAAUACGUAGGUGGCAAGCGUUGUCCGGAUUUACUGGGUGUAAAGGGCGUGCAGCCGGGAAGACAAGUCAGAUGUGAAAUCCCGCGGCUCAACCGCGGAACUGCAUUUGAAACUGUUUUUCUUGAGUAUCGGAGAGGUAAUCGGAAUUCCUAG